rnacentral:lncRNA from 1 species
CAGAGACUCUACUAAACGCGAGGUUGCUCUCAUGAUACUCAGAAUGUGAAGGACGUUCUUUCGUUCAUAAACUCGAAUGCAUUGUUUAUAAAUAACCAAGCUGAAUGAUUUUAUGAAAGAGAUCCAUGCUGCUGGCCAGAAUGGGGAAAUUUCAGGUGAAUUUUGCAGGUUUAAUGUAGGGAUUCAAGACUGGUACAUCGAUGCAAUGUCAAAUACUAUGUUUGCCGGGUUUGUGAAGUUGUCCUGAAGUCAGAGUCCCUAUAUGGGAUGCACACCAGGUUUCUUGUAAGCAUCGUGAGGUGAUGAUAU